CCUACGGGAGGCUGCAGUGAGGAAUAUUGGUCAAUGGACGCAAGUCUGAACCAGCCAUGCCGCGUGCAGGAUGACGGCGCUAUGAGUUGUAAACUGCUGUUGUACGAGGGUAAACCCCGAUACGUGUAUCGGGUUGAAAGUAUCGUACGAAUAAGGAUCGGCUAACUCCGUGCCAGCAGCCGCGGUAAUACGGAGGAUCCGAGCGUUAUCCGGAUUUAUUGGGUUUAAAGGGUGCGUAGGCGGUUUGAUAAGUUAGAGGGGAAAUGUCGGGGCUCAACCCCGAAACUGCCUCUCAUACUGUUGGCCUAGAGAAUAGUUGCGGUCGGCGGAAUGUAUGGUGUCGCGG
rnacentral:rRNA from 1 species